AAGCUCGAACAGAGCUUUUUUAAUAUCCUAACAAAUCUGAUUUCUUGUUUAUUCAAUAAAAAUAAGCUAUAAUAGAGCGUAGCACUUAAAGUUAGAAAGAAGGUGUAAGU
rnacentral:sRNA from 1 species